AUUAAACAGAAGAGAUUUUGAGAAGUUCAUGGAAAAUGGGUAAUAUGAAAACACUAUACACUGAUUUCAAAUGUUCUUGCACCAAAAAAUGUUAUCUUUUAAUCCUAUUUCCCCAAUUUAAAUUACAAAUUCAAACCUUUUGAAGUACUCUCAUAUAUACAGAUACCGUAUUACAUCAUGUAGGCACACUUUUCUACAGUAAAAAUUGCUCUUGCUUUACUUUUCUUAAAGGUAUCUAUAACAAACUUGCAAGAGCAUUAAUGCUUUGGAGAGAAGUAUUUUUAAAUAUGAAGAGUUGCUUUUUUUAAAUUUCUCUCCGAAAAAGGAAAAACGCAUUUGGUGUGCGCACGGAAAAGCAGCAAAUGGCAACCUCAGAGCUAUUUAGGACCCAGAGUAAGCUCCAAACGUGUGCUUUGAGACGGUUGGUAGGCCCCGGUGCGCUCUCACCAGGCACGUGCUCCCCUGGAGGCCCCUGAGCGGGGACAGGGGCGCCAGGAGCCGGUAAAACCGCAGAGUGCUGUGCGCACCAGCCGCCGCGCGCCCCGCGCCUCACCUGCCGCGUCGGCGGAGCGCGCGGGCCAGGGGUCGCCGGUGCGGAGCCGCUGCCGGGCCGGGAGGCUCCCGGAGGAGCAAGGAGCCAGCCUGCAGACAUCUUUCUGGAAUCUCAAGCCCUAGCAGACCUCUGACUUUGGAAAUAUUGAAAACACUGUUGUUGUGACUCACCAGAGUUCUCAAGUAGAAGAAGAUGAAGGGAGGUCUCGCUGUUAAUAUGGGUUCACCCAGCUCUUUAGUCCACAUUUCCUGAGUCCCUGAAGAUAAGAAUUUAUUCUUUGGAAAAUUUGGUUUUCCUACACUUCCCUUAACCUCACGUGAGCCUUUUUCAAAAAGGUUUCCAUGAGUUUAUACAUUUUCUUAAUAGCUUCACUUUUUGUCCAAAAAGAAGUAAAUUCCUUGGUUUAGAAUUGUCACCAAGAGACACUUUCCCUGUCAUGUUUUUCUCUCAUUGACUCACAGUGGAACACUAAGUGAGCACUUUUAAUUGCCAGUUCCUCCUGAUUGGUAUUUCUCUGCCUUUCCCCUUUAUCCAAGACUUCAAAGUGAUCAUGCAAAAGUUGUGUCCAAAGAUAAUCAUAAAGCAUUACAAAUGCAAUGGAAAGCAUGAAUUGACUUUGUCCCAAAGCUUUUGAAGUCUGUGUGUGGUUUGUCACAAUAUGUUCUUCAUAGACUUCUCUACCUGAUGUCUGAAAAACCCAGAAAAACACACAGUGGGAAGAAGCGAAGUAUGGAUUUAGAAAAUGUUUUGUAUCAGUUAUCAGAAACCAAGAAGCUUUCAGCGUCUGGAAAUAUUAACACUGAGACAAGUUUUGUGUUUCCUUCAACAAAGCCUGAAACACUUUUCUGGAGUCUCAGGCCCAGACAUGCCUGCCUCCUGCUGGGAACAUCAAAAUUACAAUUGUUGUGACUGACCUAAAUUCUCACGUGAAAGAUGAUGAGAAGCCCACUGUUGCUGAAUGCUCACCAAGCUCUUUGUUUUUUAUUAUCUCAGUUACUGAAGAUUAGGAUCUGCAUAGCUGCUUCAGAGUUUCAUUUUCUCAACACUUCCUUUAACCUUACACUGAGAAUUUCUUUCUCGAAACUGUUUUCAUGAGAUUACCAUCUUUACCUGAAAGCUUCAGUUUGUGUCUAAUAAAAACUGAAUUCCCUAUUAAAUGAAUGCAAUGGUUUUGCUUCAUGUUUUCUAUCAUUGGUUCAUAGUGGAACACUGAAAGAUUGCUUUCCACAUUUCCAGCUACUCCGUCUGAUCUUUACUUUCCCUUCACCUUUGCCCAAACACUUUACAGAGUUAAUGCAACAGUUAUAGUCAAAGAUAAAAAUACGUAAGGAUGUAAUGACAAGGAUGAGUUCACUUUUUCCAAAAACCUUUUUAAUCUGCCCAUAGUUCUUUCAUAAUUCUAUUUUCUUCGUCAUUUCUCACUAAUGUUUCAGGAAACUCAGAAAAUAGAUGGUGGGAGGAAAUGCAAAAUGGAGUUUGAAAAUGGUUUGUACUAAUUCAGUUAAGUUGGGUAUCAUCAGGUGUCUGAAAAUCUUAACAGUAAGACAACUCAGUGGAGGUUGCAAACACCUCUCUGGAAUCACAGGCCCUUGCAGAUCUGCUGCCUUCCAGAAAUGCUGAGAAGACAAUUAUUGUGACUGACUAAAAUUCUCAAGAAGAUGAUGGGAAGUUCAUUGGUGGCAUGCAUACAACCAUCUCUUAAUUCUAGAUUUUCUGAGUUCCUGAAGAUGAGAAUCUUCUUUAUUCCUUGGGACUUUCAGCUUUCCUACAUUUCCCUUAACUUCACACCAACAAUGACUUUUUCAAAACAGUUUGCAUGAGUUUACUACCAUUGCUUGAAAUCUUCACAUUCUGUUCAGCAAGAAGUGAAUUCCUCAGUUUGGAUUGCCCUUGAGAUAGUGGAACACUGAAUGUGCACUUUCAUUUACCAGCUCCUCCCAUAUGAUAUUUCCCUGCCUUUCUUCUUUAUCCAAGGAGACAUCAACGUGUUAAUGCAAAAGUCAUACUCAAAGAUAUGCAUAAAGCAUUGCAAAUGCAAUGGAAAGGAUGAGUUGCCUUUGAGCAAAAACUUUUGAAGUCUUCAUUGCUUUGUCACAAUGAUUUUCAUACACUUUUUCUUCACGAGGUCUCAAAAACUUGGCAAACUACACAGUGGGAAGAAAUGAAACAUGGAUUUGGAAAAUAUUUUGUACGAAUAUCAGAAACUGAGGAAAUUUGGUAUCUCUAGGCUGCAAACACCCUUCUGGAAUCCAAGGCCUUGAGAGGCCUGUUGCCUGUAGGAUAUGUUGGAAAAGCAACUGUUGUGAAUGAUAAAAAUUCUGAAAUAUGAGAUGUGAAGAUCACCUCUGAUUCCCCACCAGAGUCCAGUUCAAAGAGGAUGUUCUCUUACAAGCCAGCUGUUUCAGCAGGAUACUAACAGGAGCUGGACCAGCCUACUCUAAGAUCAUGCUCUGCUCACACCUCAGCAAGGACAACUCUUUGGAUUUCUCCUCCAAGAUAUCUGUGAGAAUGACAACCUCUCUUAUCUCUUUAGCUUUUACAUCAUCUGCCAAAGCCAAUAUGGUUGUCCUCUAUUACCUGUUUGGAUCCUUAUACAAGAUACAAGAUCACUCAUCAUGCCUCAUUCAACCAAAUGACAUUUUUAACCUGCUCUGGGCCACCUCUUUCCAGAAGCUCAGAACUAGAAAAGGAAUUGAAGAAAAAGGUAAUGAGACGUCUCAUUUUUAUAACCCUUGGGAGCAUUGUUUUCACUUUGAAUCUGAAAUUCAGUAUAUUAAUUCUUAUAGAGCAUUUUUCAGUGCACCCGCUAAUUACUGCCCUGGAGGAGCAGGUCAUUUACCCUUCCUGGUAGGUAAGGGAAAGUGGUAUAUUAAGCAGGAACUUCAGUGAGAUGAAUUACUUCUUUCCCAUCCAAGAGUCAGAACACCAGAUUGACUAUAUAAGAGAGAAAGAAAAACGUCAUGUGAUGUGACGGAAAUGAACCUUUGUGUUGGGGUUGGACAAAGCAAGGUUCAACUUUGGCUUUCAACAUUGAGGGCUGUGCAACCAUUGGCCACAGUUUCCUCCUCUAGGCAGUGGUAGUAGCUAUGGUGACCAGAAAAGUUGGGUGAUACUGCCCUGUUGGCUUGGGCAGCAUGGUAACACACAUUGACUUCCUCUGCCAGUUGUAACUCAUGCAGAGAUCUGCCUGGAACCUACUUCAUCUCUGCUGGUGGGAUAUGAAAAUUCCAGAAUAUCCUAAUAGAGUCACAAAAUGUCCAGCAGGACCUCAGCACUUCCCCAACCUCAUCCAGAAUGCAAGGGUGAGGCAAGGCAGGCAGUGCACAAGGAGGGACUUCAAUUACAAAAGCAGACAUUUUCUCUCCACCUGCUUCCUAUCAUGUAAGAACCCACCAAGAAUCUGCUUCUCGAGUUUAGAUUACUUCAUGGAAGAGGUAUUUUCCUAGUUUGUGCCUAUUGGAUGCUUUACAAAUUUUAAAAUGAGUACAUCUUAACCCAAACAUUCUAGGAAGAUUAAAUGAAAAUAAGAACUAGUGUAGGCCACAAAUGAUAAUGAUAAGCCACUGAUUAGAAGUAUUGAAAGAUCUGUGCCCAAAACUGUGACACUACCAUCAGUUCUCAGAGAAAGUUGGUCCUACAUUUUGAUUGGGUCCAAUAUUCAUUUAAGAAAUGUCAUGUAUAAUGAUGCCAAAUGUAAAAGUACAUCACCUUUCUGCCCAUGUGUUUCAGAGUUCCCUUGUACAGUUUCUUAUUGAAAGCUGUUGGAAAACUUGUGGAGAAGAUGCCAUCUCUUCCAUAGGGGAGUGCCAAAUGAGUCAGGACAAUUACCAAGAAGCUGCAGGUGCUUGUAGUAAUUUAACUGUCUGAUAACAAACAGAAUGCUGCCAGCGUCUGAGACAUCCUGAGACACGGUCUAAUUUGGAGUCCAGGGCAUGACAAACCCUGCUUAAAAAAAUAACUCACCAUUAUACCAAGUGUGCCAAGCAAAAAAGUCAAUUUUCUUUCAGAUUCUCUCCCCUUAGAAUCUGACAUAUGUAUCAGACUAUCUUUCUAUGAAAUUCUGUGUUUCAUUCUAUUGCUUUUAUUUUUCAUGAAAUAAAAGCUAAAACUGCUACGUAA